CGGGGGGGGCUAGCGUUGUUCGGAAUUACUGGGCGUAAAGGGCUCGUAGGUGGCCAACUAAGUCAUGCGUGAAAUCCCUCGGCUUAACAGGGGAACUGCGUCUGAUACUGGAUGGCUUGAAUCCGGGAGAGGGAUGCGGAAUUCCAGGUGUAGCGGUGAAAUGCGUAGAUAUCUGGAGGAACACCGGUGGCGAAGGCGGCAUCCUGGACCGGCAUUGACACUGAGGAGCGAAAGCCAGGGGAGCAAACGGGAUUAGAUACCCCGGUAGUCCUGGCCCUAAACGAUGAAUGCUUGGUGUGACGGGUAUCGAUCCCUGUCGUGCCGAAGCUAACGCAUUAAGCAUUCCGCCUGGGGAGUACGGUCGCAAGGCUG
rnacentral:rRNA from 1 species